AUGGAUCAACUGUUAUUUUAUUUUGUGGAGGAUAAAGUUCAGAUCAUGAAUAAUGGCAUUACAAGUGAACUUGGCACAAUUACACAUGUCCUGAACCUCAUAGAAUCUGACACUAGCAAGUCUUCAUUGGCAUGCAAGUACUACCUUUACAUUGUCAUGACAGGAACAAUUAAUUUGACAUGUAUCAUUGGUACUGCUAAAACAUUUCGUUCAUGUUUCAACAAAUUUGGUGGAACACUUCAUAUGUAUUUUACAUAUAUGAAUUAUCUCCUAUUGCUUUCUAAGAUGUUAGUUCUUUCAGUUCUAGCCCUCCUAUCUUUAAUUCCUGGCUGCUGGACUACCUGCAGGACAGCAAGUUCAUCUGCGGCAGCUAUCACUGUGAGCAGUCCGUCCGCGACGCGCUCCGCAGCGUCUUCGCCGGGCACAACGAGAUCCUCAACGUCUGGAAGGAUAAAGUGA
rnacentral:rRNA from 1 species